rnacentral:rRNA from 1 species
AUUGUAUCCACGAUUGGGGAAUUUUCCGCAAUGGGCGAAAGCCUGACGGAGCAAUACCGCGUGAGGGAGGAAGGUCUGUGGAUUGUAAACCUCUUUUGAUAGGGAAGAAGUUCUGACGGUACCUAUCGAAUCAGCAUCGGCUAACUCCGUGCCAGCAGCCGCGGUAAUACGGAGGAUGCAAGCGUUACCCGGAUUUAUUGGGCGUAAAGCGUCCGUAGGUGGUUAUUCAAGUCUAUUGUCAAACCCUGGGGCUUAACCCUGGAGAGGCGGUGGAAACUCAAUAACUAGAGUGCGGUAGGGGCAAAGGGAAUUCCCAGUGUAGCGGUGAAAUGCGUAGAUAUUGGGAAGAACACCGGUGGCGAAGGCGCUCUGCUGGGCCUGCACUGACACUGAGGGACGAAAGCUAGGGAAGCGAAGGGAAUUAAAUACCCCAGUAGUCAAUCGUGAAUACAAU